AACGAACGCUGGCGGCAUGCCUAACACAUGCAAGUCGAACGAGACCUUCGGGUCUAGUGGCGCACGGGUGCGUAACGCGUGGGAAUCUGCCCUUGGGCUCGGAAUAACAGUUUGAAACGACUGCUAAUACCGGAUGAUGACGUAAGUCCAAAGAUUUAUCGCCCAAGGAUGAGCCCGCGUAGUAUUAGCUAGUUGGUGAGGUAAAGGCUCAUCAAGGCGACGAUCCUUAGCUGGUAUGAGAGGAUGGUCAGCCACACUGGGGCUGAGACACGGCCCAGAAUACUACGGGAGGGAGGAGUGGGGAAUAUAGGAAAAUGGGGGAAAGGAUGAAGGAGCAAGGCUGGGUGAGUGAUGAAGGUGGGAGGGUAGUGAAGCUGGUUUACCCGGGAUGGUAAUGACGGUACCGGGAGAAUAAGCACCGGCUAACUCCGUG
rnacentral:rRNA from 1 species